AGGCUGCUGUUUUCCUGAUCCUUAGUCUACUGAGUGCAGAAUUUUAUGGGAGCUUUAGAUGUCUCACUGGUGACAGAAACCUAACUUGAACAAGCUUAAGAAGAAAAUGGAGAUUAUUCAUUUAUAAUUCAUGAAAAGUGCUGAGACCCAUAACUACUGAGCUGUUUGCGACCUACUGUGAGACUGACACAUCAACCUCGGUUUCAUCAGGACAGA